rnacentral:misc_RNA from 1 species
GUGAAGGCUUGGCACUCUGGCGCUGCUGAAUUAAUUGGUCGUCUUAUAAUAAAUCCUGACAAUGAACCUUUCCUACUUCCUUUUGCUUCACAGAUAUAUACACGUUUGGUCGAUAUAAUGAGCUCUCCACCAACUGAUGCUCAAGCAGCUGCUGUAGGUGCAUUAUAUAACCUUGCAGAGAUAAAUAUGGACUGUCGUUUAAAGCUGGCCAGUGAGCGAUGGGCAAUUGAUCGCCUGUUGAAAGUGAUCAAGAUGCCACAUCCAGUACCAGAAAUUUGCAGAAAAGCAGCAACUAUUUUGGAAAACCUUGUGUUGGAGCCGCAGAACAAGCCCCUCCUCCUAUCCUAUGAAAAUGCGUUUGCGGAAAUGCUCUUCGGGGAUCCAAGGUACUCAGACAUAUUCGCGAGGAUAUUAUAUGAACUAACAU